AACAACGGUUUAUGUUUAUUGUC
rnacentral:snRNA from 1 species